GACGGAGGGUGCUAGCGUUGUUCGGAAUGACUGGGCGUAAAGGGCGCGUAGGCGGCUCGUGAAGUCGGGUGUGAAAGCCCGGGGCUCAACCCCGGAACGGCAUCCGAUACUGGCGGGCUUGAGACCGGGAGAGGAGGGUGGAAUACCCAGUGUAGAGGUGAAAUGCGCAGAUAUCAGGAAGAACACCCGUGGCUAAGGCGGUUCUCUAGUACGGUACUGACGCUGAGACGCGAAAGCGUGGGGAGCGAACAGG
rnacentral:rRNA from 1 species